UCCCCGGUGGCUCAGUGGUAAAGAAUCUGCCUGCCAAUGCAGGAGACACAGGUUUGAUCCCUGGUCCGGGAA
rnacentral:tRNA from 1 species